GAUGAACGCUGGCGGCGUGCCUAAUACAUGCAAGUCGAGCGAAUGGAUUGAGAGCUUGCUCUUAUGAAGUUAGCGGCGGACGGGUGAGUAACACGUGGGUAACCUGCCCUUGACUCUGGGAUAACUGCGGGAAACUGUAGCUAAUACCGGAUACGACCCUCGGCGGCAUCGCCAGGGGGUGGAAAGAAUUUCGGUCAAGGAUGGACUCGCGGCCUAUCAGCUAGUUGGUGAGGUAACGGCUCACCAAGGCGACGACGGGUAGCCGGCCUGAGAGGGUGACCGGCCACACUGGGACUGAGACACGGCCCAGACUCCUACGGGAGGCAGCAGUGGGGAAUAUUGCACAAUGGGCGCAAGCCUGAUGCAGCAACGCCGCGUGAGGGACGACGGCCUUCGGGUUGUAAACCUCUUUUAGUAGGGAAGAAGCGAAAGUGACGGUACCUGCAGAAAAAGCACCGGCUAACUACGUGCCAGCCGCCGCAGUAA
rnacentral:rRNA from 1 species